ensembl:lncRNA
GUGUCUGAAGUGUGGGAACUUAUUGGUAUAGAUCUUACUGGACCUCUUCCUAAAACGUCAAGCGGCUUUCCAGUAUAUACUGACUGCAACUGACUACUUUUCAAAAUGGGUUGAAGCUUUCCCAUUAAAAACGAAAUCUGCAUCUGAGGUAGCCCAGCACUUGUGCUCCAUUAUAUAUAUAGACAUGGCUGCCCCAAAAGGAUUUUGUCAGACCAAGGCAGAGAGUUUGUGAAUGAAGUAAGUGUUAAAUAAUUUUCAGUUACAUUUUUUAACUUUACUUCACUGGGGUCAAAGAUUUUUUCUUGUGUGCUUGUAUAAGAAGUAUAAGAACCUUGUCCUUAUCUGUUGAAGCUCAACUCUGAUCUUUGCAAGUUAUUGCAAAUUGAAAGAAGUGUCACAGCAGCAUACCAUCCACAGACCAAUGGUCUAGAUGAAAAGACCAAUGACAACAUAAAAAGAGCCCUCCGAAAACUGGUGAAUGACCAGCAGAAUAACUGGGAUCUGUAUCUAGAUCCCACCCUGUUUUCACUGCGGUCAAAAGUACACACCACAACAAAAUACUCACCUUUUUUUCUGAUGUAUGGAAGAGAGGCAGUAUUUCCAUCAGAAGUGCCUGCUCAAGUGCCGUGAAGUGGCUUUGGGCUGCAAAAGACACCGGGCGUGUGGAGACAGUCGUUGGGCCAUACAAAUUGUAUGACUCUUCUUUUCGCACACUGGAGGACAGUGGGUGGCUUUCUGAUGAGGUAAGUGAAGUAAUCAUUUUUGGUCCUAGUGGUGGUCUGUAAAAAAUAAUCUUCUUUUAAUCCAAACAGGUCAUUGAUGCAUACCUGCACUGCCUCAUUAGGAAACAAAAGGCAAGUAAGAACGUAUGCCGGUUAUUUCACAAAAGCAUUUUAUACAAUUUUGUAAUCUUUUACAAAAAAAUUCUUGCAUUUUUCAGGAACCCGUGUAUCAGUUGUCUUGUGUUGUUGCAACCUCUCUGUUUUCUGGGAAGUUUAAAUGUGUCAGCAAGAUGUUGUUUCCGGCUGAGGACAUUUGGUUGUGCCCACUGAACUUCAGUGCACACUGGAUCCUUGUGGUUGUCAAAAUCUCCUCACGAUCUGUACUGCUGUUAGACCCUCUUGGAAAUGAAGGUUGUUAUGAAAGGAAAAUUAUGCGUAACUGGAGGAAUUUUCUGAAGAUGAAAGGAAAGGAAGAGUCCCGAGUGGAUUGGAAAAUGGAGACUCUGCCACACAGCAAGCAGAUGGACUCCAGCAGUUGUCGAGUUUUAGUGUUGAAGUUUGCCGAACACUACCUUAUGAGUGGAGAGGUUACUAGGGUGCUGUCCAAUCCAGAAGCCAUUGGGCUGCAACGCACAGAAAUUGCUUGCGAACUGCUAGAACAUCAAAGUAAUGCUGAUGACUACUGUGUGGUUUGUUCCAUGCUGGAAGCCGAUCCUGAGUCCAGUAUGAUUGAAAUGGUGCAGUGUGAGUUUUGUCUCAGAUGGGCACAUUUUGGAUGUGCUCAAUAUGAGAGCAGCCUGGUCAAGUACUUGUGUAACAAAUGUGCAUAAUUUGUUAUGAAUACUGUUUCUUUUCCACUUCUUUCUCCCUGUGUUCUGUUGGAUCUGUAAAUAUCAAAUAUAUAUAUAUGUAAAUAUUUUCAGUAAAUACAUACUGUAACUAUAAUGGAGUGAGUUCAUUGUCAAAGUUUAUAUAGUCAGGUGUUCCAAUCACUUCAAUGGUGACAGCUGUAUAACUUAAGCACCUUGGCAUGCAGACUGCUUCUACAAACAAGUGCCAAACCAUGCUACCUUUGUUAAUAAGAGCAAGAAGCAUAAUUCUGACGGGAAGAAUUACGUGCCAAAACAUGCUACCGUUGUUAUUAUAAAGUAGAAGCAUACUCUGACGGGAAGAAUUACGUGCCAAAACAUGCUACUUUUGUUAAUAAGAGCAAGAAGCAUAAUUCUGACGGGAAGAAUUACGUGCCAAAACAUGCUACCGUUGUUAUUAUAAAGUAGAAGCAUACUCUAUAAUAACAACGGUAGCAUGUUUUGGCACGUAAUUCUUCCCGUCAAAGUAGAAGCAUACUCUGACGGGAAGAAUUACGUGCCAAAACAUGCUACUUUUGUUAUUAUAGAGUAGAAGCAUACUCUGACGGGAAGAAUUAUGUGCCAAACCAUGCUACCUUUGUGAAUGUGACCUACAAGCACACUUUAAUGGGUAAAAAGAAGUGUAUACUGGCUUUAUGAAUAUCAGCUACAAACAUACUCUGAUGGACAAAGUUAAGUGGCAAACCGUCAUACCUACUUAAAUUUGUGCUGGAAUUAUUGUGUGGCAGCAGAAAUGUGCAUAAAUUACGUACAGUAGGACAUUUUGCCAAAGUAGGGCAGUUUGUCAUAAGGCAGCGUAAAAUUAUCCUACUGGUAGGACGGUUUGCCAAAGUAGGACUGUUUAUCAGAGGACACCGUAAAAUUUUCCUACAGGUAGGACGUUUUGUCAGAACACCGUUAUUCCCAUCACUGGUUAAUAUGUAAUUGUUAUGCCUUAGCAGUAACAAUUAGGGGCCGGAAUGUUAGCGCCAUUUAUAGUUAUUACAUGUUUUAUUUUGAAAAGCCUGAAAAGGAUAUGGUGCUUUUAUUGUGAAAUGUUUGUGAAAAAAUAAACAAGCGAAUGGCGGAGCGACACGAUGGUUUUACCGUCGUUGUUGCACAAACCGACGCGUAAAACAGUCUCUUGUCCAUCCAGAGUCUUAUUUUAGAUAUAAAAAAAAUAGAGAACUCCAAGAAGAAACAAAGAUAGCCACUACAAUAAGCAACGCCCGACUGUCAGAAACGCUCUGUGCGGGUAGCAAAGUCGGCUCCAACGCAUGUCCAGGCAUCAACUGGUCUUGCCACCGGCUGGCUGGUCCCUCAGCUUUCAUGCUCGGAUCUGCAGAACAACCUCGUACUGGCCACUGGGGCAUGGCAAAACUUUUAAGUCCUAGUUUGGGUCUUCACUGCUCGCAGAGAAUUAACAAUUAAAGAAAGUGAUCCAACACGAAACUCAAAUCAAACAGUGCAGUCGGAAUUGUCCACAACCACGCUCCGUUUCACAAAUAAACAAAAAACUUGCAGCAGUCAUACUGUUCAUAGACAC